CAACCACUUUCAUACAGAAAUCCUGCAAUAAACGCAGGAACACCAGCAUGCAGGCUGUGGCUUUUCACUCAGACAUGUUCAGGCUCUCUUACUUCAACCUUCCCGUCUCAGAGGAAGAUCAACACCGGCGCCGUACCUAUUCAGCACAGCGAGACACCGGCAUAUUGGCACAGUACUCCCAAAAAAAGGCAAAGUGAGAGCGGCUAUAGACAGGUGCACCGAUUGGGUGAUGACGGGUGAGAGGGCGUGGAGCAGUUGGAGGGCGGGCCCGAGCCAGAGGGACUGCUGUUAUUGGACAAGGGCGAGAACAGGGCGUCCUUUCCGAGACCUUUGUUCUGGAGCUCCAGCUGAAGUAAAUGAAGUUUCUGUCGGACCUCCAGGAGUUCUUUCAUCUGCCAUUCCCUCAGCUGGACCGUCUGCUGCUCAAUCUCCUGAUCCAAUGCCGUCAGCUCACUCUGCACCGGCUCCUGGGACUCACUGAGAGUACACACACACAAAUACACAUAAAAACAUGCACCACGGAGGUCAGGUUUAAUCAGCUUGAACCAUAAGUGCAAGUUUACCAUAAACUUUACUUUUACUCCCUUCACUGGCUGUUUUUUCUUCUUCUUCUCAAGUCUUUCACACCUACCCCACCAUCCAUCUAUCUUUAUAUAAUCAAUCUAUCCAUAUUUUAUUAUAUCUUGACCACCUCCCCUCUGUCAUUUACUGGUACUUUGAGAUUUUCCCCACUAUUCUCCCAUUUUACACAUCAUAAAUCCUUACUUUUUCUUGAUGCUACGUUUGAGGUGUUUCUCCAUCUGACUACGUCUCCUCUGGGUGUCAGAUUGAAUCCGGCUGGUCCGACUCUUCUGCUCCUUACUCAGAUUCCACACCUACAAAACACACACACACACACACACACACACACACACACAAGCAGAAAUCAAUUUCUUUUGCAGCACACUGGCAAAAUGAUUUUUCAGCCUCUAGUGCCAAUGUAGUGGACUUUUCAUCAUCCAGUUUCUAUGUAGAGCUGGAAAAAUCUAUACAUAAGAAUCUAAAUAUGAGUGGUUCCAUUCUGUUAGGCAUCUAUCUUUGUGUGUACCUUCUUAAGGUGUUUCUUGCGCAUCUCUUUGAUUUCUUUUUUCUGUUUCUUUAGCAGCUUCACAUAGCUCUUCUGCUGCUUCAACUCCUCUAUAGACUGGGCCUGGAUGUCUGACAGACAGAUCGAGAGACAUAGAAUUAUGGCCAAUCACCAUUGUAAUUUAAUAUUAUAAAGCUGACAGCUAGCCACUCCUGGCUUGUCCAACUUUAAAAAAAAUGAAUACAUAUCCUAUACACAGCUCAAAAAUGAUUUUCACUAGUUUCUGUGGGAAAUGAAUGACCUUACCUGUCAGAACAGUGGCUAUGAGGUCUUCCUUCAGACUUUGUGCUACACACACAAACACAUGCGCACACACACACACACAAAGAAAUGCAGGAAGAGAAGCACACAGACAGUAUGUGUGAAAUGGAUGAUGGGAAAAUGAACCAAGCACAACAGCAGAAAACUCAAUGUAAUGAACAGUAUUCAUGGCUUUAGUGUAAGUUUAACAUACUGUACAAGUUAACCUUGUAUUGAAAAGAACAAUGGAUGAAAUUGGGUAAGCUCAUAAAAUUUCCCUUUUUUUAAAAAGUGACACUUUCAUAAAGCUUUGAAUCACAAAACGUGGGAGAUGAAUGAUUUUCACAAGACGUUAAAAAAUAUUUUGUUUCACUUAUUGAAAUUUCCUGCAGACAAGUGAAAAGAUCUUGUGAAUAGAUUACUAUGGAUAUUUGUGCAGUGAAGACACAUUCAUGGACAUAUUACAUUAGCUUACAUUAGAAUAUAAUACACCGCCUCAUAGCAGGCUAAUACAAAUAUACAGUACAUGGGAGGCAGGCAAGCUGAUACAAUGGAACAACAAUACGGGUUACAUUUGACAAUUGGAUUAUACCUAGCAUCUUAUGCAUCUUUGAAAGUGAUGUCUAACUAAUGUACGUUAAAUUAGCAUAACAUCCAUUCAUGUAAAAAGUUAAUAAAUUCUAGACAGUACUUUUUUUAUUUUCUUAUUUUCUGGCAGAUUACUCAUGGCUGUUUGUACCAGAGCUUAUUACUGGGAAAUGUUCAGAAAGUAGACUAAAUGGUGCCUCUAGUGGCUUGAAAGCGUCUGAUUAUAUAUUCAUUUAGGAUUUCAAGUGCAGAUAAAUUUAAUGGUGUGGGUAUUUACACGUGUCACAUGUAGACAUUAAAACAACAUUUGUGGCUGUGUAUGUAUUGUUUAUGGCUGUCUCUACCAGGUGCAGGUAAUUUGAUGACUUCAGGUGCUUCAUCCAUUGAGCAGGGGGGGAGGGCAUGGAAGGGGGAAGGGAGUCCCGGAACAACUUCACUCUCUUUGGUCUCUCUCUCUUUGGGCUGGUUGGGGACAUGCUGGACAAAGCAAGAGAAAGAUGAAUUGGAAAGUUGAUUGAGAGUUCACAAUCUGUAAACUUUAGAUUAGAUUAUCAGAUGAUCAAUCUUAAUGUUGUAUUAAUGUUCAUAUUAAUGCUAUGAUAUAGUCCAUUGAUAUAGUCUUUAUUUUUUUUAUAUAAUAAUCUGAUAUAGUCUGAUGAUUUGGCAACAUUGUUCUUGAAAUGUUCAUGGAAAUAAAGCCCUUUUAAUUGAA